UACGUAGGGUGCAAGCGUUGUCCGGAAUUAUUGGGCGGAAAGAGCGUGUAGGCGGCUUGGUAGGUCCGCUGUGAAAACUCGAGGCUCAACCUCGAGAUGUCGGCGGAAACCACUUGGCUAGAGUCCGGAAGAGGAGAGUGGAAUUCCCGGUGUAGCGGUGAAAUGCGCAGAUAUCGGGAAGAACACCUAUGGCGAAGGCAGCUCUCUGGGACGGUACUGACGCUGAGACGCGAAAGCGUGGGGAGCGAACAGG
rnacentral:rRNA from 1 species